rnacentral:rRNA from 1 species
CGGGGGACGAGGGUGACAGGUGGUGCAUGGUGUCGUCAGCUCGUGUCGUGAGAUGUUGGGUUAAGUCCCGCAACGAGCGCAACCCUCGACCUUAGUUGCCAGCAUUCAGUUGGGCACUCUAAGGUGACUGCCGGCUAAAAGUCGGAGGAAGGUGGGGAUGACGUCAAAUCAUCAUGCCCCUUAUGACCUGGGCUACACACGUGCUACAAUGGGCGGUACAAAGGGUCGCGAACCCGCGAGGGGGAGCCAAUCCCAAAAAGCCGCUCUCAGUUCGGAUUGCAGGCUGCAACUCGCCUGCAUGAAGCCGGAAUCGCUAGUAAUCGCGGAUCAGCAUGCCGCGGUCGAAUACGUUCCCGGGCCUU